GGGAAGUGAUGAGUGGUCAUGACUUGCAUUUUAUACAAAUGCAAGAGGGGCGUUCCAGCCCAGCCUGGUUACGACAAAUUGGGCGCCCUCACUUAUACCAAUCUGAUCCC
rfam:Capsicum annuum cultivar Zunla-1 chromosome 4, whole genome shotgun sequence